GAUGAACGCUGGCGGCGUGCCUAAUACAUGCAAGUCGAGCGAACAGACGAGAGUGCUUGCACUCUCUGACGUUAGCGGCGGACGGGUGAGUAACACGUGGGUAACCUACCUAUCAGACUGGGAUAACUUCGGGAAACCGGAGCUAAUACCGGAUAAUAUUUAGCUUCGCAUGAAGCAAUAGUGAAAGACGGUUCUGCUGUCACUUAUAGAUGGACCCGCGGUGUAUUAGCUAGUUGGUGAGGUAACGGCUCACCAAGGCAACGAUACAUAGCCGACCUGAGAGGGUGAUCGGCCACACUGGGACUGAGACACGGCCCAGACUCCUACGGGAGGCAGGAGUAGGGAAUCUUCCGCAAUGGACGAAAGUCUGACGGAGCAAUGCCGCGUGAGUGAAGAAGGUUUUCGGAUCGUAAAACUCUGUUGUAAGGGAAGAACAAGUACGUUAGUAACUGAACGUACCUUGACGGUACCUUACCAGAAAGCCACGGCUAACUACGUG
rnacentral:rRNA from 1 species